GGAUUAGUCAAAGAGUCAACGCGCUCUCCACCUACACCGAAUUACGAAACUACCCCUUUAUUUUCCCCGAUUCCCUCUUUAUCCUCCUCACUAACACCAAAAGCCACACAAACCGAGUUUUUGGCGACAAAACAAUCAGAGCUCAUUUUCUGUGUGGCUUCUGUUUCUCUCUCGAAAGCGAAAAGGAAAAUCGGAAUUCAGUUGUUUGGAUCGGGAUUCUGCAAACUAUUGAUUGCUCCACUUCGAUGAUCUGAUUGAUCCGAUCCAUUCGAUUCGUCAUGGACCGGAUCGUCGGCGGCAAGUUCAAGCUAGGCCGGAAAAUCGGUAGCGGCUCGUUCGGUGAAAUUUUUCUAGCUACGCAUAUCGACACAUUUGAGAUCGUCGCUGUCAAGAUUGAAAACAGUAAAACAAAGCAUCCUCAAUUACUAUAUGAGGCCAAGCUAUACCUUACACUUCAAGGAGGAAGUGGAAUUCCUGGCAUAAAAUGGUCUGGCCUAGAUGGGGAGGAAAAUGUGCUUGUUCUUGAUUUGCUGGGACCUAGUUUGGAGGAUUUGUUUGUGUAUUGUGGAAGGAAGUUUUCUUUGAAGACAGUCGUAAUGCUGGCCGAUCAGAUGAUUACGAGGAUAGAGUAUGUGCAUUCCAAAGGAUAUUUGCAUAGAGACAUAAAACCAGACAACUUCCUCAUGGGUCUUGGUCGGAAAGCAAAUCAGGUUUACAUAAUUGAUUUUGGACUUGCAAAAAGAUAUAGGGAUUCUACAACCAAUCGUCACAUUCCUUACAGGGAGAACAAAAACUUAACAGGGACUGCAAGAUAUGCAAGCUGCAAUACGCAUCUUGGAAUUGAGCAAAGUCGAAGGGAUGAUUUAGAGUCACUUGGAUAUGUACUUCUGUAUUUCUUGAGAGGAAGCCUUCCAUGGCAGGGUUUAAAAGCUGCCACAAAAAAGCAAAAAUAUGACAAGAUAUGCGAAAAGAAGUUAUCAACUCCAAUUGAGGUUCUAUGUAAAUCUCACCCUGUGGAGUUCGCAUCGUAUUUCCAUUAUUGUCACUCGUUGACAUUCGAUCAAAGACCUGAUUAUGGAUUCUUGAAGCGGCUAUUCCGUGAUUUGUUUUCUCGUGAAGGAUAUGAAUUUGAUUACAUAUUUGACUGGACUAUCAUAAAAUACCAGCAGGCACAAAAAAAUAAAACACAAGCUCGAUUGUCUCCAGCUCAUGGAGGGAGCAAUAAUCAUGCUAUGCAAAUGGAUAUAGGUAGUCAUCAAGUGGCUGGAGCUGCCAAUGUUUCUUACUCACCAGAGGUCACGGACCGCAUUCGAUCUACCAAUGCUACUGGUCGUGGCAUUCACAUGCAAUUUAAACAGCCAGUGACAAAGAAUUUGAGUCAUGGUAAUCCUCUUGAAAAGAAUGUUGUCAGUGAUGUCUACAUGCCAUCUUCUUCUCAUACACUUGCUGGCACCUCAAGAAGGCAUGCACAUAAAUCUGUUUUGCCAACUGAAUCUGCAAAUUCUGGUCAUGAAAGUGGUAAUAAAGUGGGUCCUUCAAGUAGCUGGAUUUCAUCUCUUCAACGCGUGUCUUCUGCCAAGUGAUCUGGAAGCAGUGUCAUGGGUUCAAGAGUUUCCCUACCAAGACGUUCAUGAAGCUGCAGAUAUGAGAUUUUUAUAUCUUUCAGACUGGGGUCUCUGGUGUUCCUUGGAGCUUUUCUCUCCUGCUACUUCUGAAGUUACCCAGCAAACUGUCGAGUACAUCAGAAAGACAGAAACUCAACUUCAAGUGAGGGGAAACUUUGGCUCAAAAUGCUCUAGGAAUAUGACACUUUAGACACAUUAAAGGUAGUGUUUAUGGCUGCAUGAUUUACACCAAAUACAUGGUUGUGUGUUAAUAUGCUAUGUAGAAAGGUCUUCUAAUGCUUUUUAGCUAUUACUUCAUUUGAGACAUAUUUAUAACAAAUGGUUUGUAGAAAUUUGCUAAAGCUGAUUUACUUCUGUCUAUCACCAUUCUACUUUCCAAAAUGAACUCUAUAUUUCUGGGUAGAAGGAAUUUGCUUUUUCGUAUAAUUGUUUCUAUCUUGUAAAACGAUUACUUUUUUCUUCCGCAAAUGUGAUUAAUUAGUGUAUUGCUAUCAUAUGGUAUGAGGUUUUAGUAGCACAAGAAUGUUGAUAUUUUUUUAAUCCCAUGUACAUGAAGCAAGGUUUAGCACAUUUUCUCCCCUUGGAGGGUGAUUUCACUUUUAUGCUAAUUAGGGUAAUCUGAAACGUAUUAGAGUUCACUCUGUGAACUGCUUGCUGCUUAGGCUUAGGCCAUCUCAUUUGUCAGAUGCCAGCAUUCCUCAUCCAAAGCCCGACCAAGCUGAUCUCUAGUCAGCCGACCAAGCUCAUUUCUUUGGGACUGGUGAUUCAUAGACUGGCUAAGCAAUGCUUCUUAUCUUAUCACCAGCCAGAAGAUUGCUUGGGUUUUGGAUUGUCAAUCAGAGUCUUAGGUCAGGUAUUUGGCAUUUGCUUGUGAUUCUGUAGGUUUGAUUAUUGUAAGCCAUUUCUUUCCUUGUUUUUAGUUUUGGCUUCUUUUUUGUUUUGUUUCUUUAAAAUUCCUGAAGGCAAGCUCAGAUCUUUUUCUGCAAGUAAAAACAUAUCACACAAAAGAAUAUUACAUAAAUUAUCCAUAACCGUACACCAAAACGAAAGAAAAUGAAAGAAACUAUAAUUUUCCACCCAUCAAUAACAAAGGAAAACAGAUAAGGCACAAAACUCCAAAGAACUUUAAAAAUUUAGCUCUUUUGUUUGUUUGUUUUUCCAUUCUUAUUUCACGUUUGGAAUAAUUAGCCUGGUGUAUUCUCAAAGUUAUACUUUUUUUUUUGUCGCGCCACUAUUUUGUUAAUUAUCUGAACAAUUUCCUGUUUUAGAUUUUCAGUUACUAUUUCAAUACCUGCUAGUGGGACAAGUUUUUAUGUUAAUUUAAAAAUCUUACUAUUUUUCAUGAUCAUGUACUUUGUUUGCUCUCGUUUUGUCCAAAUAUUCAAGUGGAUGGUUUACAUUGUUCUGCGGAACAAAAUUGCAGAGCUUAGUUACAUUUUCAACUCAUUCAGUAUAUUUUUCUCGUUUGUUGUCAUUUACUUUAGGGUAAAUGGCAUGGACGCCUCAUGAAUUUUUAGUCAGUCAGGAAAAUGAUUCUUCGAUUAAUUUUUCUUGUAAUAAGUACUUAAAUUUAGUUUAAUUAUCGAUCAACUCUAAAUUGAAUUUUUUUGACAGUUAUAUUGUUUUUAUUUGAGAAGAUAUGCUUACAAGAAUUAUAAGUUCAAAUGAUUACAAGUUCAAAAUUUAAUUUUCGAAUUUUCAACAAAUUCUAGAUAUCGAAAUUUGUUACAAAUUUACAAAUGUGGAGUUAAUGGUCAUUAUUUUUAAAUGCAAAGCUAACAUUUGAAGACCAUUUUGCUAAUCUAGAUAAAUUCAGGAGUCAACUGUGCUAUAGACCUUUUGUUUUUUAUUCCUUUCCUCAAGGUUUUUAACCAUUUCGCUAUGUCUCUCUGCAAUCAAUUAAUAGAUUUAAUAGACUUACAUGUAUAAAUAAUCUGUAUAAUUGUACUUGAUGUGUGCUCAGUUACUAAAUGCUUUUCAUUUAAAUGAUGGAUUCUUUUUUUUUCUUUCUUUUUUGUCUUGCAUAACAUGACUUUAGUGUUUUCAGCAUUUCAUGAUUUAAUGCUGAUCUCAUUCAAAACAGUGUGGCCCUCAACCCUUGCUAAGACCACCAUAACUGCUGGACUUUUUAUGUAUGGUUGCUUGUUUGAUUGAAUUUGUGUCCUUGGUUUAGAUAAGGUUCCAUAAUAUCAAGCAACUGAAUAUCUUGUGCUCUAUGAAUUUUCAGUUUACUUCUCCCUUUUGCAAAAGCAGGGAAAUGUUUCAAAGCUGGCCAAGGGAAUUGUCCUCGUGUUGAACAUAGGAUCCAAGUUACAUGGGCCAGAGGUCUUUGUCAUAAAGAAUGAUUUGGCUAAUUUGUAAUUCACUUUCCCAGUUUGGUCCGCAAGAGGAGAGAAAAUUACUGACCCCUCAAUCCUCGACGAGUCGAAAAGCUUAGGUAUCUCAUUGAUUGGGGGCCAGAUUCAAGCUAAAACACUAUGUCCCACCCCUGCCCCAUGACCCUGUUUAUGUUUGACAUCACAAGAAGAUUUUAAAUUCUUGAUGGCAAGUUUAUUUUGUGGUUGUUUACUCAAAUAUAUGAAAUUAAUACCACAAGUUUAUAUAAAGUGUGCUUUCUUCUCA